rnacentral:rRNA from 1 species
AGAGUUUGAUCAUGGCUCAGGACGAACGCUGGCGGCGUGCCUAAUACAUGCAAGUCGAGCGAGCGGAACCAACAGAUUUACUUCGGUAAUGACGUUGGGAAAGCGAGCGGCGGAUGGGUGAGUAACACGUGGGGAACCUGCCCCUAAGUCUGGGAUACCAUUUGGAAACAGGUGCUAAUACCGGAUAAUAAAGCAGAUCGCAUGAUCAGCUUUUGAAAGGCGGCGUAAGCUGUCGCUAAGGGAUGGCCCCGCGGUGCAUUAGCUAGUUGGUAAGGUAACGGCUUACCAAGGCGGCGAUGCAUAGCCGAGUUGAGGGACUGAUCGGCCACAUUGGGACUGAGACACGGCCCAAACUCCUACGGGAGGCAGCAGUAGGGAAUCUUCCACAAUGGACGCAAGUCUGAUGGAGCAACGCCGCGUGAGUGAAGAAGGUUUUCGGAUCGUAAAGCUCUGUUGUUGGUGAAGAAGGAUAGAGGUAGUAACUGGCCUUUAUUUGACGGUAAUCAACCAGAAAGUCACGGCUAACUACGUGCCAGCAGCCGCGGUAAUACGUAGGUGGCAAGCGUUGUCCGGAUUUAUUGGGCGUAAAGCGAGCGCAGGCGGAAAAAUAAGUCUAAUGUGAAAGCCCUCGGCUUAACCGAGGAACUGCAUCGGAAACUGUUUUUCUUGAGUGCAGAAGAGGAGAGUGGAACUCCAUGUGUAGCGGUGGAAUGCGUAGAUAUAUGGAAGAACACCAGUGGCGAAAGCGGCUCUCUGGUCUGCAACUGACGCUGAGGCUCGAAAGCAUGGGUAGCGAACAGGAUUAGAUACCCUGGUAGUCUAUGCCGUAAACGAUGAGUGCUAAGUGUUGGGAGGUUUCCGCCUCUCAGUGCUGCAGCUAACGCAUUAAGCACUCCGCCUGGGGAGUACGACCGCAAGGUUGAAACUCAAAGGAAUUGACGG